rnacentral:rRNA from 1 species
UGAGGUUAAAAAGCUCGUAGUUGGAUCUCGGCGGACUGAGGGCGGUUUGCUUGCUAGUAUUACUGCCCUAUAGUCCGUAGUUUUGCCAGAGGUUUCGGGGUGCUCUUAAUCGAGUGUCCCGGGAUGCUGGCAGGUUUACUUUGAAAAAAUUAGAGUGCUCAAAGCAGGCUAUUACGCCUGAAUAUUCGUGCAUGGAAUAAUAGAAUAGGAAGUCGUUUCUAUUUUGUUGGUUUUCGGAAAUCGACUUAAUGAUUAAUAGGGGCAGUCGGGGGCAUUUGUAUUCAAACGACAGAGGUGAAAUUCUUGGACCGUUUGAAGACAAACUACUGCGAAAGCAUUUGCCAAGAAUGUUUUCAUUAAUCAAGAACGAAAGUUAAAGGUUCGAAGGCGAUUAGAUACCGCCCUAGUUUUAACCAUAAACGAUGCCAGCUAGCGAUCUGCGGACGUUUUUUUUGUAGACUCCGCAGGAAGCUUCCGGGAAACCAAAGCAUUUGGGUUCCAGGGGAAGUAUGGUUGCAAAGCUGAAACUUAAAGGAAUUGACGGAAGGGCACCACCAGGAGUGGAGCCUGUGGCUUAAUUUGACUCAACACGGGAAAUCUCACCAGGCCCGGACACUGGAAGGAUUGACAGAUUGAUAGCUCUU